AUACCUGGGCACAGGCAGAAACCAUGAUCAUGAGGUGGUUUUCCCAGGAGGGAGGCUCAUCCAGUGCAAUCCAGAUGUGCUGACCCCUGCGAUUUCCCCAAAUGUGGGAAAUUCAACUGCCUAAUUUGUGGUAGUGGGGGCUGUGUUCAUGCUUUCCCCUG